rnacentral:rRNA from 1 species
AGAGUUUGAUCCUGGCUCAGGAUGAACGCUAGCUACAGGCUUAACACAUGCAAGUCGAGGGGCAGCAUGAAAGGAACUUCGGUUCUUUUUGAUGGCGACCGGCGCACGGGUGCGUAACGCGUAUCGAACCUGCCUCAUACUCGGGGAUAGCCUUGCGAAAGUAAGAUUAAUACCCGGCGGUCUCGGAUGGCCGCAUGACUGUCCGAGUGAAGAUUUAUCGGUAUGAGAUGGCGAUGCGUCCCAUUAGCUUGUUGGUGAGGUAAUGGCUCACCAAGGCAUCGAUGGGUAGGGGUUCUGAGAGGAAGGUCCCCCACAUUGGAACUGAGACACGGUCCAAACUCCUACGGGAGGCAGCAGUGAGGAAUAUUGGUCAAUGGACGAAAGUCUGAACCAGCCAAGUAGCGUGCAGGAAGACGGCCCUAUGGGUUGUAAACUGCUUUUAUAAGGGAAUAAAGUGAGCCUCGUGAGGCUUUUUGCAUGUACCUUAUGAAUAAGGACCGGCUAAUUCCGUGCCAGCAGCCGCGGUAAUACGGAAGGUCCGGGCGUUAUCCGGAUUUAUUGGGUUUAAAGGGAGCGUAGGCCGGAGAUUAAGCGUGUUGUGAAAUGUAGACGCUCAACGUCUGCACUGCAGCGCGAACUGGUUUCCUUGAGUACGCACAAAGUGGGCGGAAUUCGUGGUGUAACGGUGAAAUGCUUAGAUAUCACGAAGAACUCCGAUUGCGAAGGCAGCUCACUGGAGCGCAACUGACGCUGAAGCUCGAAAGUGCGGGUAUCGAACAGGAUUAGAUACCCUGGUAGUCCGCACGGUA